AGAGUUUGAUCAUGGCUCAGGACGAACGCUGGCGGCGUGCUAAUACAUGCAAGUCGAGCGGGACUCUUCGGAGUCCAGUGGCGGACGGGUGAGUAACACGUGGGCAACCUGCCUGUAAGACUGGGAUAACACCGGGAAACCGGUGCUAAUACCGGAUAAUCCUUUUCCUCUCAUGAGGGAAAGCUGAAAGACGGCGUAAGCUGUCACUUACAGAUGGGCCCGCGGCGCAUUAGCUAGUUGGUGAGGUAACGGCUCACCAAGGCGACGAUGCGUAGCCGACCUGAGAGGGUGAUCGGCCACACUGGGACUGAGACACGGCCCAGACUCCUACGGGAGGCAGCAGUAGGGAAUCUUCCGCAAUGGACGAAAGUCUGACGGAGCAACGCCGCGUGAGCGAUGAAGGCCUUCGGGUCGUAAAGCUCUGUUGUUAGGGAAGAACAAGUACCGGAGUAACUGCCGGUACCUUGACGGUACCUAACCAGAAAGCCACGGCUAACUACGUGCCAGCAGCCGCGGUAAUACGUAGGUGGCAAGCGUUGUCCGGAAUUAUUGGGCGUAAAGCGCGCGCAGGCGGUCCUUUAAGUCUGAUGUGAAAGCCCACGGCUCAACCGUGGAGGGUCAUUGGAAACUGGGGGACUUGAGUGCAGAAGAGGAAAGCGGAAUUCCACGUGUAGCGGUGAAAUGCGUAGAGAUGUGGAGGAACACCAGUGGCGAAGGCGGCUUUCUGGUCUGUAACUGACGCUGAGGCGCGAAAGCGUGGGGAGCAAACAGGAUUAGAUACCCUGGUAGUCCACGCCGUAAACGAUGAGUGCUAAGUGUUAGAGGGUUUCCGCCCUUUAGUGCUGCAGCUAACGCAUUAAGCACUCCGCCUGGGGAGUACGGCCGCAAGGCUGAAACUCAAAGGAAUUGACGG
rnacentral:rRNA from 1 species